UGGGGAAUAUUGCACAAUGGGGGAAACCCUGAUGCAGCGACGCCGCGUGAGCGAUGAAUGCUUUCGAGUCGUAAAGCUCUGUCCUAUGGGAAGAUAAUGACGGUACCAUAGAAGAAAGCCCCGGCUAAUUACGUGCCAGCAGCCGCGGUAAUACGUAAGGGGCGAGCGUUGUCCGGAAUUAUUGGGCGUAAAGAGUGCGUAGGCGGCAAAUUAAGUCAGAUGUGAAAACUAAGGGCUCAACCCAUAGAUUGCAUCUGAAACUGAUAUGCUUGAGUCAAGGAGAGGAAAGUGGAAUUCCUAGUGUAGCGGUGGAAUGCGUAGAUAGUAGGAGGAAUACCGGUGGCGAAGGCGACUUUCUGGACUUGAACUGACGCUGAGGCACGAAAGCGUGGGGAGCAAACAGG
rnacentral:rRNA from 1 species